GGAUAUAGCUCAGUUGGUAGAGUGCUUGCCUUGCAUGCACAAGGACCUGGGUUCAAGCCCCAGCACCA
rnacentral:tRNA from 1 species